GCUACUGUGAAGGUCACAAGGUCUGCAGACAAUGUGGAGCUAGGCAUACUGAGCCAACAUCAGGAUGACCCCUCCAUACACUUGUAUGCCCAGGUGAAACCUGCUAGACUCAGAAGGGCACAGACUACCUCUUCUUCCCUGUUUCCAAAGGAAUUACAGCACUCUAAACACAGACAGAAAAACAGAGACCAAGUCAUAGAUCAGCAGGUGUGUUUUGACUUCUCCAGAUCCCCAGGUUUCCAGUGGCCAACACAAACCUUCUACUUUUUUCUACUUCAGGCUGAUACAUCUCAGGAUUCUCAUGCUGUGAUUUAUGCCCAGCUGCACAUCAUGACACCAAGACAGGGCAGGCAAACUUCCCUCUUUCCGGGAAGAAUAUGCUGAAUUGAGACCCUUCUCUGUUGUCAACCAGUCCAGAGAGAUCUAGAAUCUACAUUCCGUGGGAGAGGAAGGACUCAGCCAUGUCAGAAAAUGAGAUCUGUCACAGGCACACUGUCAUUGUGCAAAAAUAUCUGGUGUCUAGUGUAUUCUGAGAUCUUCAGGGACUCACCUGAUUAUGUAGUCUGAGAUAAGAAAUAUGCCUGCAUGUUUUAAAUAGGGCAAAUGUUUUGUUAGUAACCAAUGCAUAAAAUGAAGAAAGAAAAUAGGACUG
rnacentral:lncRNA from 1 species